AUUUCAUGUUUAUUAAAACACUAUAUAUUUUUUUUCAAAAUUCCUAGGUAUUCCUUGCAUUGCCUAGGAAUAGUUUGAAAAUAUAUACAGUUUAUUAAUGCGUUGGCAGACAUGUAAUAUUUUUGUUAGUUCAAAUUUUGACACUAGAAUAUUUGUAGCUAAAUACAUUAGAAAUCUGUGGUAUCGCUGGCAUCAUCUGCCUCAGCAACAUCACCAUCAUCAAUUGAUGAAUGCUCUGAUUUAUCUGAUUCAUAUCACUUUCACUAGAAUAUUCUGGAGUAGAAACAUCUUCAAAAAGCUUCAUUAAAUGUGCUUCUUCUUUUUCAUUACUCAUAUUUUAUCCUAAAUUUAUUUGUAAAUGUUUUAUAAAGAAAUUGUACACUAACAUUUGUACAUACUUACUUUAUAU
rnacentral:lncRNA from 1 species